GAUGAAGAACGCAGCGAAAUGCGAUAAGUAAUGUGAAUUGCAGAAUUCAGUGAAUCAUCGAAUCUUUGAACGCACCUUGCACCCUUUGGCAUUCCGAAGGGUAUGCUCGUUUGAGUGUCAUUGUACUCUCACACUUCUGAUCCUUUGGAUUGGGAGCGGUGGACUUGGGUGUUGCUGCUUUACUGUGGCUCACCUCAAAUGCAUUCGUGCAACUCUUGGUUGGACAUAGUACGGCGUGAUGAGUAUCUUCGCCGGCACCUCGCAAGAGGGUGGCUGAUCAGGAGCUCUGUGCUUUCCAACUGUCUUCAGACAACAACUGACAACUUGACCUCAAAUCGAGUAGGACCACCCGCUGAACUUAAGCAUAUCAAUAAGCGGAGGA
rnacentral:misc_RNA from 1 species